CAUAAGCUUUUUUUUGUUUGUUUUUAAUUUUAUUAGAAGUGGGAUCUCAUUUUGUUGCCCAUGCUGGUCUCAAACACCUGUCUUCAAGUGAUCCUCCUGCCUCAGCAGCAUCAGUUUAAUAUCUAGAUAAAAUCUGAUGUAUGUAAUUUUACUUUUAAGGGUUUUUUUCCAAACAGACGUCCUGACAAUGUUGUUUCCUAUUCCUUGAACAUUCACCUGACGCUUAUAUACUGUCAUUACUUUUAUCUGUCAACUGAUGUCAGCUACUCAAUUUACACAUUACUUUUGUGCAUUUCAUCCUGUUUCUCAGUUUGACAUUGUCAUUCAAAUUCAGAGUUUGACACUGAAACCCUGGGCAUGGUGGCUCACACCUGUAAUCCCAGCACUUCGGGAGACUGCGGUAAGCAGAUCAUUUGAACCCAGGAGUUUGAGACUAGCCUUGGCAACAUGGUGAAACCCCAUCUCUACCAAAAAAAAAAAAAAAAAAAAAGCAAAAACAAAAAUUAACUGGGCAUAGUUGCACACACCUGUAGUCCCAGCUACUCAGGAGGCUGAAGUGGGACGAUCGCUUGAGCCCAGAAGGCAGAGGUUACGGUGAGUAGAGAUUGUGCCACUGCACUCCAGCCUGGACGACAGGGCAAGACGCUGUCUCAAAAAUAAAAUAUUAGUAAAGAAGAGUACAAUCAGAAUAUGAAAAUGUGUAAAUGUGCAUAUUCUCUUUUUUUCUAAUUUGGUAGCAUUAAAAAUACUUAAGCAUCAAAGUUUGGCUUUAUGAAGAAGGAGUCUGAGACACCUCAGGUUUCAGCCCUUACUAAUAGCGUGGCUCAAAGAGCGUUAACUUGCCUGUGCUUCUGUUUCCUUAUCUGUAAAAUGGGGAUGAUGCUGUAACAUCAAAGAGCUUAUAAUACUUUCCAGAGCUGGCAGUACUAAAUAAGACCAUUCCUCUAAAGUGCCAGCAUUUUGAAAAGCAUCAACCCAUCAACCUUGUGCUUUAAAUCUGGCAUUCUUAAAGCUAUACCUGUAGGCAGUAUAGAGUGUUUUUUUUUAUUUGUUUUUUUGUUGUUGUCUUUUGAGUCUCACUCUGUCUCCCAGGCUGUAGUGCAGUGGCACGUCUUGGUUCGCCGCAACCUCCGCCUCCCAGGUUCAAGCGAUUCUCGUGCCUCAGCCCCCCGCAUAGCUGGCAUUACAGGCACACACCACCACGCCCAGCUAAUUUUUGUAGUUUUAGUAGUAUCUACUAAAAUAAACAGGGUUUCACCAUGUUGGCCAGGCUGGUCUCAAACUCCUGACCUCAAGUGAUCUGCCUGCCUCGGCCUCCCAAAGUGCUGGGAUUACAGGCGUGAGUCACCAUGCCCGGCCGGCAGUGUAUAUCUUCUAAAGUUGCAAUUUUUGUUCACUCCAGAAUCACUUUUCAAAAAGCAUGCAGAUUUAAUGCCACCAGUUUGUGUUAUGUAUCUAUCCCGCAAAACAGCUCUAAAGGUGAUUUACUAAAAGAUUAACAGCAUUUAUCUCUGGUGGGAUAAUUUUUCUUUGCUUGUUUACCUGUGUCUUGCAGAUUUUACACAGUGAACAAUGACUGUAUAAUUUUAAAAUACAGAUAUGCACAAUUGUGUAAUGUAAAUAUGCUCAGCUUCAAUACAUUUAAGAACACAUUUUUAACUUUUCGUAAGGAGUCUUCAGUUUAAAAGUACAGUGUCAUUACAGAGUGCUUAUUCUGUUACAAAAUUAGUAAAGCUGAUUCUGCCUCUAAAUCUGAAGUAAUUCCCACUUUUUUUCAUGCUUGAGUUUAGUUGAUAAAUAGCAUUUUAGAUACUAAAAAUGAUUGGAUGAGUAUUUCUACAUUAAUAAGUUGCUAAUUAGGCACCAGGGUAGCAGAUAGAAUGCCUUUCUGUGUGCUAGGUUUAAACAUUUUACACACAGUCUUAUUUAAAACAGCCUUGCAGUUUAUAGAUGAACUGAUUGUUAGGCUAACCAGAGGUGUUACUAUACCCUCCAGGAUAACCCAGCUAGUAAGGGCAGAGCCAGGAUGAUUCAGACCCAGACCAGAGCCGGGUGUUUUGUCCACAGUACUGCUGCUGCUUAUACCGUAACGGGAAAAGUACACAACAGUGUCUUAAUAUUUCAUUCUUCCAUGAAAAACACUUUUAAAAUAUUGAAACAUUAUAGGAGCAGAAGUACAUCUCUAAAUAUACUUUUAGGUCACAUUGAAAACAUUUCCAAAGGAUUUGACCUGAAGUUAAUGUUGCUACAUUAUGCUCAAUACAGCAGGCUGUUCUGCUAGGGAAAUUGUUAAUAUUUUAAAAAUAUUUUCCUAAGCUUUAGCUUUACCA
rnacentral:lncRNA from 1 species